UCUAAGGAUGAUUAAGGAUUAUUUCUUAAUCUAAAUAUUUAACAGGUUAAUGUUAACCGUCCUCAUUUCUCUUCUUAAAGUAGUGCUUCUCUUUUCUGCAUUAGGGCCGGUAGCUCAGUUGGUUAGGGCACACCCUUGAUAAGGGUGGGGUCGAAAGUUCGAGUCUUUCUCGGCCCACCAAUAAAUGGGGGAUUAGCUCAGCUGGGAGAGCGCCUGAUUUGCAUUCAGGAGGUCAGCGGUUCGAUCCCGCUAUCCUCCACCAAGAAGCACUUAGUUAUUUUAUUUGUGAAUAUUUUUUAAUUAUUAUCAAUAUCUAUAUCCGAUUGUUCGAAUAGAUGAACAAUCAAAGAAUGUUCGAAUAGAUGAACAUUCUAACAAAAUUUGAUUCAACACAGAAUUUUUUUCUGUGCAUAAAU
rnacentral:tRNA from 1 species